AGUGGAGCCAGGGACUCAGACCCAAAUCCUCACAGAAACUGGUUGGGUUUGUUACCACUGAGCCACAAUGGGAACUCUAGUAUCUUCUACCCUUUUUUUUUUCUUUAUCUACCUCCAUAAUCUGCCCAGUUUUCAGUAAUUUACCUCCAUGUAGGCAAGAACAUUGCUUCCUAAAUAAUUUUUCUAUUUUUCUUCUGAAAAUGGAAUGAGAGCAAUGUUUUACUCAUGGAAAAUACAUUAGUAUCUUCCAAAAAGGGUACGUAUAUGCAACCUACAUUAAAAAGCAGGAAAAUUCCCCACAGUUUCUUCAUAUCGUUUAUAUAUUUAGACUCACCUUUCCUUACAGUUAAAUGAUUAGAAGUGUUCCUGAAAACUAGAAAGUGUUAUAACAGAAGCUAUUGUUUGUUGUCUAUCAGAGGAAAGUACAUUUACAUGCAUAGAUUGGGAAAUCUGUUCUUAUUCAUAAAUGUAAUUCUGGUUAUAUGCAAAUAGAAUGAUGACCCAAUGGCUCACUGUUUCAUGUGGCUCUAUGUGUCCCAGGAAAGCCACUCAGAUUGCCAUUCUUCUCAGGACAACUGAUUUUCUGCUGUUCUAUGAUAAAGUCAUCAGUUACAUGCUUACACCCAUCAAAACUUAAUUUGAUUGUGGAAUAGUAUGUUUUCUGUUAUUGCUGUUUUAAUGCGUUCUGGGCUAUUUAGUGUCUACACUUUAUAUCCCUCGUGUCCAUCCCAUAUCCCCUGACACAUGUACACAUGUUUACAGACAGAUUUCUGGGUUAUCAGAAGCUUCUACACUUAAUAAGUGCACUUGUUUUCAGAACAGUGAAGGAAACCAGAUGGUUUCCAAUCACAGUGUUGAAAGGACAUAAUGUUAAGUUGAAUUCUUAUAAUUUAACACUAUAGAUGAUUAGAGGGUACAUGUUUAAAAAGCUAACUUGUUGCCAAUGAUCCUUGUUUUGUAAGCUUAUUUAAACACAUGGUGCAGUAAAAAGAACAAAAGUUUGAAAACUAAUUGUAAAAACUCAAACCAAUUAGUAAUGGAGAAUCCAUGUUUCAUUUUCUACCAUACUUUUUACUAGAGCUUCUAGAUGUAGCUAGUAAAAUGGAAAUAGUAUAAUAAUUUAUUUUUCCACCUCCAUGCCUUUGAGGAAAUUGUGAUUCAUGGAUCAAAACCUGCGGAGGAAGAAAAGUUGUUGGCAAAUGCUUAAUCUAUUUAAAAGUAAUCCAUGGCAAUACGAUGAUGUGUGUUUAAACAUGUCUUUCCCUCUGAAGGACACUUUUAUAUACAUCUGAUCUAGGUCUAGAUCAUAUCAUAUAUACAAUAUGCAUAUCCAGAUCUAGAUCAGAUUAUAAGUCCCAAUAUACACAAAGAUAAGUUAGAGAUAUAUAGAUGAUUAGACAAAACAGAUAGAUACAUAUACACAUAGAUACACAGAAUAAAAACACAUAUGUGCUUUUUAAAAAAAUAUAAUCAAUUCUCUUAUAUAUGUGUACUGGAAGUGUGUGUAGUGAAACAAAUAAAAGAAUUUUAUUUCUAUAGGGUUAAAACCUAAUUCUGAAUAAUGAAACAAAUUAGUUGCCCCAAUCCUUGAAAGCCAAGCCACUCACUCAUUACAGCUUCCUACUGGAAUUUGACGGGAUUACAUCAAACAAAGAGAUGUUUGCCAUAAUUUCAAUUAAUUUAAAUAAUUAAUUAGUGUCUCUGUGCUGACAAAAUACCAUCAGCACUCAGGAAUCCAAUAGCACUGGUCUCUGUACAAUGGCUUUUAAGGAUGGAUCACAUGUCAAUAUAGAAGCAUACCUAAAAACAAUUGCAUGUAGCUUUGACUCAGUGAGAAACUGCAUGAAAUGUAAACAAUAAAUUAGGGUGGAUAAAUUGCUGAGAGCCAUCUCCAGAAAGGAAUACAAAUAAAACAGAAUAUUUUUUUUUCUGAAAAUGGACAGAAUCAGGGCAAAAUAUAGAUUUUUGAAACUUAUAAAAUGACUUUGGAAAAAUAAUUUAGUGGAAUGUAUAUACACACAAACACAGGAAGAGUGUGACUAUAAAGUAAUGAGACCUAUUUAACCAAUCUCACAUACGAAUGCUUUUCCAUCCAGAUGUUAUAAAUUGAAAACUAUAAAUUUUCCUAUGGACUGUUAUGGCACCUAUCCAUAAACAGGCAUUUUUUUAUAUUGACUUGGCUAUAAAGGAUGUUGACUUGCUCUACUUCCUGCUUUCAAAUGGAGCAAUUAUGAGUUUUCCAGUCAAGCUUAAAAUAGGUCACACUGAAAGUUUAAUGAGAUUUCUUCCCAUGAAGAACUUCUCCCUCAAGACUUCAAUGCCACUUUUCUAACCAAAGUACAAGAACUACUCUUUUACCCAGAUAUUUGGAUUCAUUUUCUCAAUAAAUCAAUUAUCCAGAUGUUUUUCUCCAUGUGAAGUGAAAUAUCUGGAUGCUGCUAUAUUUUUAAUGCUUCACAUCACAUAAGCAAAGCAUUUCUAGUGAUAAGUGUAUGGAUAUAGAUUGUGAGGCUAAUAUGGUUUUAAAAACCUGUGGAUUUUCUUCCCUCAAGCAAAGCUUUAACAUUUCUGAAAUUCAGUUAAUUUGAACUUUAUGAAAAUCUUUGAAAUUUGACUUUUACCUGAGGAGAAUGAGUCUCUAUUUUGAGUCAUUUGCUUCUGGGUAAAUUUCAAGACAGUAUCACUGGCAAAUCUAACACAAGGAAGUCAUAUGCAACCACCUAUAAUUUAUUCAGGAAGUCUGGUAUUUAAACAAUUUGAAAUUCAUGUCUUACCAUCAGAUAAUCAGAUAAUUUGGCAAGUUUACUAUCUUCUGAAGUACUUCCCAAAGUAAUUGUAGUAUUUAUAAUCAAGAAGAGAUUUUACUAUGUUUGCUUUUUUUUCUAUCCCCCAAAUGAGGGUAUUUUGCAUUGAUAAGUGGAAACCUCUCAUAAUUUCUUAUUUCUUUUCAUCUAUUUGGUUUGAGCAUAGGUACCAAACUUUUAAAAUUCCAGUUAUUGUUGUAUAUUUUAAAAUUUUAUUGAUUUUACUGCUAUGAGCCUUUCUAUGUGUUUCUUUACUAAAGGCAGAGAUGUCAUAUGUUAAAAAUGAUCCAGGAAAGAACAAGAAUCUAGUUCUGUGUGAAAUGCUCACUGAAGACCACUGGCCAUCACUGUGCUUUGUUUACUAAUUCAUCCUUCACACCUGGAACAUUCCUCAGUGUAAAGCUGUGGCAUAUGGCAGGUUAAUCAUUCUUCCCAAGUUGGAGCAGGCUGGUCAGGAGUCCAGGCAGCCUCCAGCUACCUUGGAACAUAAUCAGUCCCCGUUUGUCUGCAUUUACAAAAUAGCUGCACAGCAGUAUGCCUUUGAGUGAGUAUUCAUGAGAUCCCUAAAGAACACUGCUUUCUUUGUCUCACUGCAGGAAAAAAAAAAAAAAAUCUCAACAAAACUCAGGCUUGCCAAGUGCCACAAUUUCCCUCCUUCUCAUGCCCUGUCAUAUAAAGUCAGUUCAAGAUCCACUUUUCAGCCACAGCUGACAGGGCCCAGGUCCCUGUGUAUCUACCAGACCCUAUGACCAUUGCCUGUGAGUAGAGCUUCUGAUGGUCCAGCUUAACUGCUAAUGAGAAGAGUCAGUCACAGUCCCAAGAAAAUGCUCCAGAUGUGUCUGGACAUGCAAAACAUGCUGGAACAUGGCAUAGAUAGUGAAGACUUCAAAGACGUUCUCUUCAAUAAAAUCUAUAUAAUUUACCUCUCUCCUCCUCUUUAUCCCAUAAAUACAAAGAGUAUAAAUUAGGUUGAAGGAGAUGACAGAUGGUCUCAGAGAAAAAAAUGUGAACAACAGUUCUCUGUUUUCAUUUGGGCAAACAAGAUGAGGGAAGCUCACACCACAGCAUAUGAAGGACAGUAAAUACUAUAGUAGUACAUGGUCUGCAUUGGUUGAAUCCAUGGAUGCCAAACCCUGGAUAUAGUAGAACCCAAAGACAGAAGCCCAACUAUAAGUUGAUUGAAUUUUUGACUAUGCAGAGAGUUGACACCUCUAACCCUUCCUCCCUCCAUCCCUCGUGGUUGUUGAAGGUUCAACCCUAAUGUGCUUCUGGUCAGUGACAAGUGACACUUUGGAUUUACCUAUUAGAGAAGACUAUUGGCUCUCAACCAGAAUGUUUUCUAAACUCUUCCAUAUACAAGCCUAGUAGAAAUACAGGCAACUAAGUCCCUAUGAUGGAAGCAUCCAGUCAAAGAGUGCAAAGGAAAAGAGUGGUGAUGGGACGUAUCUUCUAAGCUUUGGCGCAAAACCUGAAAAGGCUCUGAGGAGAGAAAGUCAAGGCCAUUCUAGGAACUGCAGGAGAGCAAAAUCAUGUUAUAACAUCCUUGAAAAUUGAAGACCCGCCUUAAGCAUUUCUGUUGACUUGGAAACUGCAGUCCAUUCCAUUGUCAGACAGUUCUGAAGAUAGGAAGUUCUUAAUACUGAAACCAACUCUGGUCUCCUCAUUCCUCAAGCAACUCUAGUCUGGCUCUUUUCCUCACCAUUCCUCCAAAUUGGCCACCUGUGGCUUUUAUGAGAGAAAAUCCAGCGGAUCUAUGCCAGGAUCAUCUUAUUCUCUUAGCAGCAUUUGACCCAGUUGGCAUUCUUAACUUCUGGAAGGCUCUCUUUGUUUUUCACUCUCACUAUGCCACUUUCUCCUGGAGGCUUUCCUACAGCUCUGGGCAUUGCUUCUUAGUCUUCUUUGCCAGUGUAUCCACCUUCCCUCCCCCAAGUAAUUUCCAGAAAUGCUCUAUAUCACCCAAACUACGUACCUAAACAUUAGAGAUUUCUUUCGGGUUAGAGGUAAUUUACUGAGAAAAGCAUCUAGUAUUGAGUCUGGGACAUAGUACCCUUAUUAAAAUGAUUCAUUUUUCCACUUUGAAGGGUAAUUUUAAUUAGGAUGUAUAUUCACUUUUAAUAAAAAAGAUA